rnacentral:rRNA from 1 species
GACGAACGCUGGCGGCGUGCUUAACACAUGCCAGUCGAACGGAAAGGCCCUGCUUUUGUGGGGUGCUCGAGUGGCGAACGGGUGAGUAACACGUGAGUAACCUGCCCUUGACUUGGGGAUAACUUCAGGAAACUGGGGCUAAUACCGGCUAGGAGCUCCUGCUGCAGGGUGGGGGUUGGAAAGUUUCGGCGGUUGGGGAUGGACGCGCGGCUUAUCAGCUUGUUGGUGGGGUAGUGGCUUACGAAGGCUUUGACGGGUAGCCGGCCUGAGAGGGUGACCGGCCACAUUGGGACUGAGAUACGGCCCAGACUCGUACGGGAGGCAGCAGUGGGGAAUAUUGCACAAUGGGCGGAAGCCUGAUGCAGCAACGCCGCGUGCGGGAUGACGGCCUUCGGGUUGUAAACCGCUUUCGCCUGUGACGAAGCGUGAGUGACGGUAAUGGGUAAAGAAGCACCGGCUAACUACGUG